AAAAAGAUAAGCUAAUUUAAAGCUAAUGGGUUCAUACCCCAUCGAUGAAUAAAUUCUCUUUUUA
rnacentral:tRNA from 1 species